AUGACCGAGAAAAGAUUGAGGAAGGCUAAAGAGGUGUCUGGACAAGAUGAGGUGAAGCAGUACCCUGGGCAGGCUGUUGUAAGUGAAAUGGGAAUCGCAUCCAUGAACUGUACCAGCACCAUUGCUUUUUCCAUUGUGUACUGGUAUAAACAACUCCCGAAUCAGCCACCCCAGCAUCUGGUGAUGGCCAGUCGCAGAGCUGAUUCACACGAAAAGAUCACUGCUUCAAUCGGUGAAGGGAAUAAAUUCAGUGCCCUGACUGUGAGAAACUGCAGCACCAGCGACAGUGCCAUUUAUUUCUGCGCCAUGAGGGCACAGCGUUGCAAACAUAUGGCGAGCUCGUACAGAAACGUACGCAGAGUGGAAGACAGCUAA